rnacentral:rRNA from 1 species
AUUGAACGCUGGCGGCAUGCCUUACACAUGCAAGUCGAACGGUAACGCGGGGCAACCUGGCGACGAGUGGCGAACGGGUGAGUAAUGUAUCGGAACGUGCCCAGUUGUGGGGGAUAACUGCUCGAAAGAGCAGCUAAUACCGCAUACGACCUGAGGGUGAAAGCGGGGGAUCGCAAGACCUCCCGCAAUUGGAGCGGCCGAUAUCAGAUUAGGUAGUUGGUGGGGUAAAGGCUCACCAAGCCAACGAUCUGUAGCUGGUCUGAGAGGACGACCAGCCACACUGGGACUGAGACACGGCCCAGACUCCUACGGGAGGCAGCAGUGGGGAAUUUUGGACAAUGGACGCAAGUCUGAUCCAGCCAUGCCGCGUGCGGGAAGAAGGCCUUCGGGUUGUAAACCGCUUUUGUCAGGGAAGAAACGCUCUGGGUUAAUACCUCGGGGUAAUGACGGUACCUGAAGAAUAAGCACCGGCCAACUACGUGCCAGCAGCCGCCGUAAAAC